rnacentral:rRNA from 1 species
UACGAAGGGGACUAGCGUUGUUCGGAAUCACUGGGCGUAAAGCGCACGUAGGCGGAUGUGUCAGUCAGGGGUGAAAUCCCGGGGCUCAACCUCGGAACUGCCUUUGAUACAGCACGUCUUGAGUCCGAUAGAGGUGGGUGGAAUUCCUAGUGUAGAGGUGAAAUUCGUAGAUAGUUAGGAAGAACACCGGUGGCGAAGGCGGCCCACUGGAUCGGUACUGACGGCUGAGGUGCGAAAGCGUGGGGAGCAAACAGG